ACCACUUUCAAAGAAACCCAAAUAUUUUUUACCCCGUUUUAUUAACACAAUGAAUAUCUUUUUAACCAUGGAAGAUUCGUAUACAAAUAUCACCCACCAAUAUCAGAAAAAAAAAAAUUAUGCAUAACAAAAACACGACCAUAGUUUCUUUGUCUAAAUCGACUUCAACUUCUAGGAUCCAACACCGAUCCUUGAAGCGUUUUUUCGGUCUGCUUUUCUGAGGAUGACGGUGCUUGUUGUAAUACGAGGAUUCAUCUUUUUAAUGUUGGUUCUGGGCAGCUAGGACUUAACCUACGGUACAGUCUGCACAAUCUUAGUAAGUUUGUAACAUACUUUGAUUGAUUGUUGGUCGGACACGGAUGAAAAAAGUUUCUAACUGCACAAGGUGAAGGCAAAAAAGAUCAAUUGAUUAUUCUGAAAAGCAAGAAGCUCAAAAGUAGCGACAUUUUCUCAGAUACAUGCAUGUGUCAUGUUUUUGAUUAUUUUUGGUUAAUGUUAAUGUGUCAAACUCCAUGAGCCCUUGUUGAGUAUCAAUCUCUUCUCCCUUGGCGGAUUAACUAAAAAUCAUUCUCAAAUGGCUUGCUGAAUGUUGGAGAAUCCUUAAAAGCCUCACCCUAUGUGAAAUCAGUACCCUAAUUUAGUCACAAUGUCGGUUCUAAAUGUUACUAUUAGUCACUAGAUUUAGUUUAUUCCAGGUGGAAGAUUUUAUCCAAUAGCUUUCCAACGCAUGGUCAUAAACUCAUUAUGGAUGAGAAACUAGGGAGUUAUGGCUAUUUUACGAGAAGAUGUCCUGAUCUAGGGGAGGUUGGUUUUUACUCGAAAGUUGGUUUAUAGUGCGUUAUUCAUUUCUCUAAUUGGAUAUGUUUGUGAAAGAUAAGUUUAUUUGGACGGUAAUAUUUGUUUAUUGAAAUUUCUCUCAUUAUAUUGAAGAUAUGUACAUGUAGUAGAAGUUGGAUUGUUAUUUGAGGUGAUGGAGUGAGAGUGAAAGAAGAGAGUAAGGGUUUUACUGUAAUGCAUAAGAUAAUAUCUCAGGAUUUAUAUAAAAAAAAAAUCACAAACAUUUUCUGGUUACGUUGUAUAACACAUGCCUAGCAUAACUGCAUGCAUAUUUGAAAUAACGACGGACGCAUGCCAUGUGUCUUCUAUGCACUCCCUCCAAUCCGGAACAUGAAAAAUAUUUACCCCAAAACAAAGACACUUACUGUGUAUACUUGUAAACACAAAAUUACGAGUCUGCAAAAUAAGAGAUUCAAAAAGAUUCAAAAUAUAUGAACAAAAUAUAUUUUAUUGAUUUUUGAAGUUUUGGGUACAAUCUCUAAAUAUUUGCUCCUCUGAUUCGAUCUUCACUUUGAAUUUGACUUGGCUCACGAACUAAUUUGAUUUGUACUUGAAUAAGGGCCUUCGGGCUUGAUCUCGUUCAUGGAUGUUGAUGUAGAAUAGAACGGCACGUCAAUUUUGUAUGCUUGUUGUUCUUCUUCCACCGGGUUGAUUUGAUGUCGAUUUGGUGUUACUCACGAACGGGGUUUGAUCUUCUUGAAUAAGGGCCUUCGGGCUUGAUCUCGUCCAAGGUUGAUCUUCUAGAAUGGAACUGCACGUUUAUUUGAAUGCUUGAUGUUCUUCAUCUAGGGAGAGAGUUGUGACGACUUGACUAACAGGGAGAGAUUUGAGAGUUUUAGGUUUUGCCGUCUGUUUCUCCCCUCUCCUGGCAAAUGAAUUGAAACACUCUAUUUAUAGAGUUAGGGGACCUCUAGGGUUUUCAAUGUGCUUUGGGCCCUUUUGUUUGGACUUGGUAGUCAUGACCCGUUUAUAACUGUUUAACCUAUUUUGUUAGGUUUAACCAUUAAAAAUAUUCGGGUUUGACUAAAAUAACUAAAAUGGGCUAAAUUAAUAUGAGAACCCAAAUCAAUUAAUUUAAUGGACCGUCAAAUGAUUUUCGAGUCAAUAUUUUGACUUUUGACCCAGAUAAUAUCCGACAUGGCACAUUAACAAAUUUUCCGUGUCUACAAAUUGCCCCCUCGAGACUGCAUCACGUACACUAUUUUGUGUGUUUACUCGUGAUGAAGUCUCGAUUUUUUUUUUUUUAACACACCUUAGCUCAUGUUUUUUUUUUAGCAUACCAAACUGGGCUACUUGCGGUAAUAAUUAAGCCACAUGCUUGUGGGCUACUUGCAAGUUAGGCCUUUUUUGUUUUGCUUGAGCUUCACGAUUACAUUUGAAGCUAACUCCUUUUUUUUUUUCUAAUUUGUCUUUUCAUCGAAUAUCUUGCUGGAGAUAUACUUAGCCACUUAGGAAUUAAGAGUUCUCAAAAUCCAGGAAGCUGAACUUAACCUUUUUCUUAAUUAAUAUCCUUAUUUGAGAUAAACUAGGAGUCUGUUAAUGACUCAAUACCAACGUACUCCAUAAUGCUCUUAUUUAAAGAUAAGUUUUGCAAACCACCUUUAUCUUUUUAGUUGAGAUAUAUAUUUAAGUGUUGGGAUGAUAAUCAAUCACUUGAUAAACAACCUGAUAUAUAAACGAGCUGCAGUCGAAAGAGAGACCAAAGCCAGGAAGUAUCACCACCAUGGAGGAACUUUGUCGCCUGCCGUCACCAACAUGCAAGGGAGAAGAUGUAUUUAUUUUACAACAAUGGAACCACGACGGAGAGCCAUCUCGAAGGAAUCGUUGCACCAUGCCAUCUUGGAGCAUUGACUUUGCUACAGUCGAGUCCGUGUCGAUGUCCUUGAGUCCGAGAAGGAGGUGUCCAUCAGUCCGCGAGUCCGAGAAGGAGGUGUCAUUAAUUCUCUUGACCUUGAAGCAUGAAGGAGGCGCCGUCUUUUUUUGCCGUAUUUUUGUUGUUGUUUCAUUUGCAGGUUUAUGACUAACGGAGAAGAAGCAUCGUUCAACCACUAUAUCGCCUUGGUGUCGACCAAAGAAGGAUAUGACCUUGACGUUGUUAUAGUCCGUUAUCACUCGGGACUCCUAUAUUAUGUGGUUCGAAAGUACGAAGACCGGAGACGGAGCUGUUCUUGAGUAAUUGUCCUUGUUGUUUGACGCACACAGCUCGAAGCUUGGAGCAGGCCCGGCCCUGGGGGUUGUUUUGAGGGGCAAUCGCCCAGGGCCCCGCGUAGAAAGGGGCCCCUAAUUUCAGUUCGACAGUUUUAUAUACCAAGUAAUAAAAACUGCAGCAUAAUAAUGAAGAAGUUUGUAGCGCAGUUGGUUUAAAAGGAAUGUUUGCGUAGCAAGAUUGUAAGAUCGAUACUCCUUGAGGGGUUUUACCAUUCAUUUUGCUUAGAUUUUCUACUUGGGCAGUUGGGCUUACCCAAAAAUGAUUCUCUUUUGCUUUUUAACUCACUUCUUCAUAGUCCAGCCCCGAAUUACUUUAUGCAUUUCUUCAAUUUUUUUAAAAUUUUUCUAUAGCUAUAUAAGUAUGAUGUUUACGGAGUACUACUUAAAAUGUAAAGUACAUAAGGAGUACAAUAUUUACAUUCAAAUCAUUUUGCAAAUAUACUACAGUAAAUUAUUAAUUAGGAGUAUUUUAAUUUUAUCACGUUAAAUAUUAAAAUUUGGUUUGACAUCUAUGUACUAAGGGGCCCUGUCUAAUAUUUCGCCCCGGGCCCACAAAAGAUCAGGAACAGCCCUGACUUGGAGCCGUCUGUGAGUCCGAUUGGAGGCUUCCGUGAAAGAUCAUCAGUGCUUACUGCCGGUGGGAGGUCCGAUAGAAGUCGUCCUCGCCUACUGUCCGUCUCCGUCAACCUGUUUUUUGUCUUCGUGACUCCGUGAAGGAGCGUCGACGAGACCCAGUUACUCCGUGCCGCCGCCGAAGAGUUGACCGUUCUUGAGGAGAUGUCCGAGUGGGGGUUGUCCUUGACCAUUUUUUGCUACUUGGAAAUUGAUCAUGCUACUGUGACGAGAUUGACGGAUAAUUCAUAAGAAGAGCCAUGUCGAUCAUGGAACAAAACCACCCUAGUUUAUUUCAAGUAUGAUAAUCCUCCAGGCAUUGUCACUUAUGGAAGAUGCUACUGUAAUUGAUAGGCGACACUUUCGUUCAUUUCCUCCUAUGACCGUCCAUGCGAUGAGGCUCGUUCAAUUCCUUCCAGGCGCGGUUCAAACUUCAUCUUGAUGUGACCUUCUUAGCCGUGGUUGGUGCUAGCUAGAUAACGAUGAUCGAUUUGGUGCUUAAGUGGAAGCUUACUACAAAUCUUGAUGUUUGAAAUGUUGAGUUGAUCCCCCGGUGUUGAAGAAUUUUGGUUGAAGGUUGGUGCAUACAACUUUCUCCAAUCUUUACGUUCUAUGUUUGGCCUCCAUGGUGCUUGACGGCUUAUCUUCAAGAAAAUUUGGUGAAGUUUUGGUGAUUUUGUGAAGGUGUUUGACGGCUUUCUCCGUCCUUGAGUUUAGCUAUCUUGCAAAUUUUUGGUGCUUGGAAGCUUUCUCCAAGUCGCAAUGUAGUUUUCGCAAACCGCUGGUGCUUGGAAGCUUUCUCCAGAUCUUUGGUUCGAGGUGUUUGGAGCUUUUGUCCAAGAAAUUUUGUGAUGGUGCUUGGAAGCUUUUUCCGAUCCAGUGCUUGACAGCUUUCUCCGAAUCUCAAUGUAGUUGAACCCCUGGUGCUUGGUAGCUAUCUCCAGAUCUCUGGCUCGAGGUGUUUGGUGCUGGGAAGCUUUCUCCAAACUUUGAGUAAAUGACGACAAACUUUGGGGUUAUUUAUUUUUUGAAGAUAAAGUAAAACCAUUUGAAUUUACUUUUACUCAUGCCUCCGCCGUUGUAGUUCAUUUUAAAAACAUUUGGUGUUUAAAAAAAAAAUGACAUUUUUACUCCUUUAAUA